CAGAGUUUGUCUGAUGGGACUGACCCAGCUGCUGCUGGGAAUUUGGUGAUGCAGAGCACAGAGGCAGCAGAGGGAUUUCAGUACCCUGAGGAAGCAUCAGGAGUAUUCAGAUGUCUCCAAAGGCAGCCAGGUCAGAUGUAUAAUGAGCCUCUGUCGCACACCGGGAGUCGCUGAAACUUUGAAAAGGAGGUUAUGGUCUGCUGCAAACCCUGCCAUGGUAUUGGGGUUAACUGGGCACCUGACACUGCAACACUGGGCAGCCUGGAUUCUGUCAGCAAGCUUAAAUCACCAUUCACUCUGUCCUAUCUUGCAACAGAGAAAUCUUUGGAAGUGAAAAUGCAAAGCCACAGCUGCAGUUGGCUGAGCAGCACGGCGCUCAGGCCCCAUGUUUGGCUCCCCACGGCUGUCUCUCGCUUGCUGGAUGGAGGCUCAGGAUCUCCCCAGGGGCAAGGCAGAGCUUCAGGGGGUGUUAGCAACAAGUCAAACAGAGAUGAGCAGGACCCUGUGAGCCGGGGGUGAGGAUGGACAAUGAGUAUUGUUGGUCCAGGCUCCAUCUUCUUCCAAGCUGCUCCUCAUUUGGCUGCCUUCUCCAGCCCAAAGGGCCAUUCCUGUGGAAACCCCCCUUCCCUUCUGCUGGCUGGGAGCAGAGGGCCCACAGCCAUGCUCCAGCUGGGGUUUCCUGGUUCCCUGCCUAUCUCCCGGGCGCCUUUGUAUGCUGUGAUUUACAUUAGGGUUUUCGGUGUUAUUUAAUCAGAAAUUUGGGCUCGGGUGGUUGUUUGGGGUUUCUUUGCUCUUGUUUUCUUAGCAUUAGUGACUGGCUCCUGGGAGCUCGCUGCAGACAGCCGUGCUGACAGCACUGGGCUUUGGUGUGGUGCUGGUGCUCCGUGCACAAAUUGAAAACUGGGAUGAGGAUAAGGCUUGGCUUACGCUCCUCGUGGGGCUGCAUGUGCAGGGUAAGAAGGUAAAG